AACGAACGCUGGCGGCAUGCCUAACACAUGCAAGUCGAACGAGACCUUCGGGUCUAGUGGCGCACGGGUGCGUAACGCGUGGGAACCUGCCCUUAGGUUCGGAAUAACUCCCCGAAAGGGGUGCUAAUACCGGAUAAUGUCUUCGGACCAAAGCUUUAUCGCCUUUGGAUGGGCCCGCGUUGGAUUAGCUAGUUGGUAGGGUAAAAGCCUACCAAGGCGACGAUCCAUAGCUGGUCGGAGAGGAUGAUCAGCCACACUGGGACUGAGACACGGCCCAGACUCGUACGGGAGGCAGCAGUGGGGAAUAUUGGACGAGGGGCGAAAGCCUGAUCCAGCAAUGCCGCGUGAGUGAUGAAGGCCUUAGGGUUGUAAAGCUCUUUUACCCGGGAUGAUAAUGACAGUACCGGGAGAAUAAGCUCCGGCUAACUCCGUG
rnacentral:rRNA from 1 species